rnacentral:lncRNA from 1 species
UCAUAUGAACUUCUUUAUACUAUUUGAUAUCCAUGAUCAUGAAUCCAAUUGGAAAAGACAAGUUACCCACUUGCAUACUCACGUUCUCUGAAUCAUUUGUACUUUAUCAAGUCCUUCAAGUCCAUGCUUCCAGUUGAGAUUGAAAAUGCGGCUCAAUGUAUAUGUCUUUAUAAUUAAAUAAGCAUAAGAAUCUCUAUUUCCCCUCUAUCGAGUUCUCAUCAAAAUCAUCUUCUGAUUCAUUAUCAUGUUUAUCUGAUUCAAC